rnacentral:rRNA from 1 species
CAAAAACAUAGCUAUAUGUGAAUACAUAUAGUCUCUUCUGCUCAAUGAGAUAUUAAAUUGCCGCAGUACCCUGACUGUGCUAAGGUAGCGUAAUCAGUUGUCUUCUAAUUAAAGUCUAGUAUGAAUGAACUUAUGGGGACAAGCUUUAUUUGUAUGUUUUAUGAAUUUUCUAAGUGGGUGUAAAUUCCCAUCCUAUUUUAAUAGACGAGAAGACCCUUGAAAUUUUAAUUGUUGUUUUUGUUGGGGCAAUAUGGUAACAAGUGAACUUACAUUAUGUAUAUGAAACAUAUUAGAUAAAUUAAUUACUCAAGGGGUAACAGCAUAAUUAAUUAACGUUUGUGACCUCGAUGUUGGACUAGGRCGCUGUAGCUUAGAAGGUUACCUUUGUGCUCUGUUCGAGCA